rnacentral:lncRNA from 1 species
AGAUGCCUGUUCAACAAAACUUUGCCGCCAGAGCGUGUUGCCUUUUUUUUUUUUUUUGAGAUUGAGUCUCACCCUGUUGCCCAGGCUGGAGUGCAGUGGCGUGAUCUUGGCUCACUGCAACCUCUGCUUCCCGGGUUCAAGCAAUUCUCAUGCCUCAGCCUCCUGAGUAGCUGGGAUUACAGCCACAUGCUACCACACCCGGCUAAUUUUUGUAUUUUUAAUAGAGACGGGGUCUCACUAUACUGGCCAGGCUGGUCUCAAACUCCUGACCUCAAGUGAUCCACCUGCCUCGGCCUCCCAAAAUGCUAGGAUUACAGACAUGAGCCACCAUGCCUGGCCCAGGAAGAUUUCAGUUUGUAAGUAGUGAGAGCAAUGAUCUUGGCUUUGCAUGGUGCUCAGGAAGCCUUCCCCGCUCCCAAACCAGAAAGGAAUCCAUCCAGAUUUUCCUCCACUGUCUGGAUGGCCGCUCUGUGGAUGCUUCCAUCUGUAUCCAUUGCCGGCACCUGGUGAGGUCCAAGUCUCACCUCCUCCAGAAGGCCUCCCAGGACUGCUGGCCCCAGACACAGAACUCCCAAGGGAAGGCUCUUCCACUAAAAGUCCAGCUGCAGCGAUAAUGAUGAGUUUGGAGAGGGCUGCAGACCCUGAGGCAGGGGUUGGUGCAGGGGCUGGACCUGAAACUGGGUUCACACAACAAGCUCGGACUCCUCUUAACACUCCUGAUUGGUGACAUUAUGGGGUCUUGGAUGCCUCCUCCUCUCUGUCCCUCGUACUGCCCCUGCCACCUGGGACUCCACCAAGUUCCUUCUCCACCAGCCAUGAGGAGAGCCUGCCCAGGGGCCAGCACUCUCUCCCUGAGCCUUAGAACCAGGAGGAUUCUCACUGCUUCUAUGUCACAGGAUAUUGCUCAGCCAAAGGGCCAGCAUCCCAGUGAAGAAGAUCAGAAAGAGGCUUCCGGUCACCAGGAGACUCCUGGGGAGGGCCUAGGCUGGGAGUGGGACACGGGUGGGGUUGGAUGGAAGAGUACCAGAUUCCGUCUCUAGAGCCUUUGAGGUCACUCCUGACGCUGACAUGGCUGUGAAGAGCUGGGUGCCAGGCAUUACUGCCUCCAAGGUUGCUUUGCGAGGAAUAGGUGGGGCAUCAGGAAGAAGCCAGUUGCAGGCAAGGCCUCUGCUGAUGCUGCUUUUUUCUCCUGUACCCAUCCAUGGGAGGGAGCUGUGAGAUGGCCUGGCAGAACCCGCUCUUGGACCCCACAGAAUGAGAGGCUCACCCUGCACAGGAACAUCCUGGGGCAGCAGGCUCAGCACAUUUUAAAUUUUGAGUAUGAACAAAGUAAACUUCAGGGUUAAAAAAAAACACAAAAAUUUGUCGAGC